UAUCAAGGUCAUAUGGAAGUUCUAGUUUCUUCACAAUCUUACUAUUCUCAGGUCUUCGUUUUAUCUGUGAUUUAACACCGCUGCUUUGAAGAUUGACGCGCACGCAGACGGACGGCCCUUCUUCACGUAAUCGCUCAUCGUAACUCCUCAUAAAAUCAAGAUCAAACUUCAAACUGGAGGAAACUGGAGCAUCUGGAGAAAACCCACGCAGGUCAUGGGGAGAACGUACAAACACCAUACAGACAGCACCCGUGGUCAGGAUCGAACCCAAGUCUCUGGCGAUGUUUUAGGUUCAACUAUGGAAGAUGAUGGAAGACUGGGCAGCAACACGGAUGGAGGGAACUCACGCCCAUGAAAACUUGGGAGGUGAAGACUCCUCAGACAGAACUUGUGAAGUUAUGUCCAUGAAAACUCAGGAUGCUUGACAAGAUUCUGGGAAGAAACAUCAUCAUCUUGUGUUGCUGAUAGAUGGAAAAUGUAAAACACACUUAUGUAUAUCUGGUUAGCUGAUUAUUGAACCAUUUUGGUUAUCAUAAAUGAUGGGUU